rnacentral:rRNA from 1 species
CCUACGGGUGGCAGCAGUGGGGGAUAUUGGACAAUGGGGGGAACCCUGAUCCAGCGACGCCGCGUGAGUGAAGAAGGUACAGCGUAUCGUAAACCUCUUUUGUCAGGGAACAAAGGCGGGGACUAGUCCCCGGAUGAGGGUACCUGAAGAAAAAGCAUCGGCUAACUCCGUGCCAGCAGCCGCGGUAAUACGGAGGAUGCGAGCGUUAUCCGGAUUUAUUGGGUUUAAAGGGUGCGCAGGCGGCCUGUUAAGUCAGCGGGAAAAGCCCGGGGCUCAACCCCGGCGAGCCGUUGAAACUGGCGGGCUGGAGUUUGAGAGAGGUACGCGGAAUGCGAGGUGUAGCGGUGAAAUGCUUAGAUAUCGCGCAGAACCCCGAUUGCGAAGGCAGCGUACCGGCUCCACACUGACGCUGAGGCACGAAAGCGUGGGUAUCGAACAGGAUUAGAUACCCUUGUAGUC